rnacentral:rRNA from 1 species
AACGAACGCUGGCGGCAUGCCUAACACAUGCAAGUCGAACGAGACCUUCGGGUCUAGUGGCGCACGGGUGCGUAACGCGUGGGAAUCUGCCCUUGGGUUCGGAAUAACAGUUGGAAACGACUGCUAAUACCGGAUGAUGACGUAAGUCCAAAGAUUUAUCGCCCAAGGAUGAGCCCGCGUAGGAUUAGCUAGUUGGUGAGGUAAAGGCUCACCAAGGCGACGAUCCUUAGCUGGUCUGAGAGGAUGAUCAGCCAGACUGGGACUGAGACACGGCCCAGACUCGGACGGGAGGCAGCAGUGGGGAAUAUUGGGCAAUGGGCGAAAGCCUGAUCCAGCAAUGCCGCGUGAGUGAUGAAGGCGUUAGGGUUGUAAAGCUCUUUUACCCGGGAUGAUAAUGACAGUACCGGGAGAAUAAGCUCCGGCUAACUCCGUG